rnacentral:rRNA from 2 species
CAUUAGCUAGUUGGUGAGGUAACGGCUCACCAAGGCGACGAUGCGUAGCCGACCUGAGAGGGUGAUCGGCCACACUGGGACUGAGACACGGCCCAGACUCCUACGGGAGGCAGCAGUAGGGAAUCUUCCGCAAUGGACGAAAGUCUGACGGAGCAACGCCGCGUGAGUGAUGAAGGUUUUCGGAUCGUAAAGCUCUGUUGUUAGGGAAGAACAAGUGCAAGAGUAACUGCUUGCACCUUGACGGUACCUAACCAGAAAGCCACGGCUAACUACGUGCCAGCAGCCGCGGUAAUACGUAGGUGGCAAGCGUUGUCCGGAAUUAUUGGGCGUAAAGGGCUCGCAGGCGGUUUCUUAAGUCUGAUGUGAAAGCCCCCGGCUCAACCGGGGAGGGUCAUUGGAAACUGGGAAACUUGAGUGCAGAAGAGGAGAGUGGAAUUUCCACGUGUAGCGGUGAAAUGCGUAGAGAUGUGGAGGAACACCAGUGGCGAAGGCGACUCUCUGGUCUGUAACUGACGCUGAGGAGCGAAAGCGUGGGGAGCGAACAGGAUUAGAUACCCUGGUAGUCCACGCCGUAAACGAUGAGUGCUAAGUGUUAGGGGGUUUCCGCCCCUUAGUGCUGCAGCUAACGCAUUAAGCACUCCGCCUGGGGAGUACGGUCGCAAGACUGAAACUCAAAGGAAUUGACGGGGGCCCGCACAAGCGGUGGAGCAUGUGGUUUAAUUCGAAGCAACGCGAAGAACCUUACCAGGUCUUGACAUCCUCUGACAACCCUAGAGAUAGGGCUUUCCCUUCGGGGACAGAGUGACAGGUGGUGCAUGGUUGUCGUCAGCUCGUGUCGUGAGAUGUUGGGUUAAGUCCCGCAACGAGCGCAACCCUUGAUCUUAGUUGCCAGCAUUCAGUUGGGCACUCUAAGGUGACUGCCGGUGACAAACCGGAGGAAGGUGGGGAUGACGUCAAAUCAUCAUGCCCCUUAUGACCUGGGCUACACACGUG